rnacentral:rRNA from 1 species
UACAGAGGGUGCGAGCGUUAAUCGGAAUUACUGGGCGUAAAGCGUGCGUAGACGGCUAUCUAAGUCGGGUGUGAAAGCCCCGGGCUCAACCUGGGAAUUGCAUUCGAGACUGAAUAGCUAGGGUGCGGUAGAGGGAAGCGGAAUUUCCGGUGUAGCGGUGAAAUGCGUAGAUAUCGGAAGGAACAUCAGUGGCGAAGGCGGCAUCCUGGACCAAUAUUGACGCUGAGGAGCGAAAGCCAGGGGAGCAAACGGG